rnacentral:rRNA from 1 species
AGUCGACGGUAACAGGAAGCAGCUUGCUGCUUCGCUGACGAGUGGCGGACGGGUGAGUAAUGUCUGGGAAACUGCCUGAUGGAGGGGGAUAACUACUGGAAACGGUAGCUAAUACCGCAUAAUGUCGCACGACCAAAGAGGGGGACCUUCGGGCCUCUUGCCAUCGGAUGUGCCCAGAUGGGAUUAGCUAGUAGGUGGGGUAACGGCUCACCUAGGCGACGAUCCCUAGCUGGUCUGAGAGGACGACCAGCCACACUGGAACUGAGACACGGUCCAGACUCCUACGGGAGGCAGCAGUGGGGAAUAUUGCACAAUGGGCGCAAGCCUGAUGCAGCCAUGCCGCGUGUGUGAAGAAGGCCUUCGGGUUGUAAAGCACUUUCAGCGGGGAGGAAGGCGGUAAGGUUAAUAACCUUACCGAUUGACGUUACCCGCAGAAGAAGCACCGGCUAACUCCGUGCCAGCAGCCGCGGUAAUACGGAGGGUGCAAGCGUUAAUCGGAAUUACUGGGCGUAAAGCGCACGCAGGCGGUCUGUCAAGUCGGAUGUGAAAUCCCCGGGCUCAACCUGGGAACUGCAUUCGAAGCUGGCAGGCUAGAGUCUUGUAGAGGGGGGGUAGAAUUCCAGGUGUAGCGGUGAAAUGCGUAGAGAUCUGGAGGAAUACCGGUGGCGAAUGCGGCCCCCUGGACAAAGACUGACGCUCAGUGCGAAAGCGUGGGGAGCAAACAGGAUUACAUACCCUGGUAGUCCACGCCGUAACGAUGUCGACUUGGAGGUUGUGCCCUUGAGCGUGGCCUUCCGGAGCUAACGCGUCAGUCGACCGCCUGGGGAGU